rnacentral:rRNA from 1 species
CACGUAGGCGGAUAGGUCAGUCAGAUGUGAAAGUCCGGAGCUUAACUCCGGAACUGCAUUUGAUACUACUUGUCUUGAGUAUGGUAGAGGGGGGUGGAAUUCCCGGUGUAGAGGUGAAAUUCGUAGAUAUCGGGAGGAACACCAGAGGCGAAGGCGACCCCCUGGGCCAUAACUGACGCUGAGGUGCGAAAGCGUGGGGAGCAAACA